UGGUGUGACUUUACAGAAAACCGCCCGCCACUGCACUGAAAAUCGAAGUACCUCACUGCGUAAGGCUGGAAUUCUGAUGACAAAGAUACAGUAUUUCGCAUACAGUACCACCGUGUAAAAGAGCUCUAAGGAAGCUAAAAGAUGCAAAUAGAGUAAAUAAAUAAAUACUGCACUAUGUGUGCAUAUUUAGGGUGAGAUAAAUGAAUCAGAUCAUUGUAAUAAGGUAAGAACAAAGAGAUCCGAGUUAAAUACGUCUAUCGCAACCCAAAGUUAAAUGACAAAUAAUGAGACAGGAGGCUUUAAGCGGCGUUACAUGGGGCGAACCUGCGCCGCGUUGUCGCAAAGCGCGAGGUGCAAUUUUAAGUCAAUCAGUCCUCUGAAUGGAUCCCGAAGACUGAAAUUAAUCCAAUAGCGAAAAUCAUAUCGAUCGAGCCACCGUCAUGCUGCGGACGAAGGUUUUCGCAGCAUUUCGAAGAAAGAAAACAAGAAGCUUGAACAUAUCCACGGCGUACCAGGAUGCCAGAAGCGGCGUAGGUAGGUGCGGAUAGCGCCGAUCCUGACGAACGGAGUUAGGUCAGAGCCGGGACGUGAUGACAUGCGGUGGCGACGUCUUGAGCCAAAGCGACCAGCCUCAGUUGCUUAUGUAGGGAAGGUAGGCUUGCCCAGGCACAAGUGGUUUUUGCUGGCCCUUGGUGGUGCUUAUUAACAAUUCGUCGAGGCGUCCGGCGUUGCGGCGAAUGGGGCGUUUGCUGGUAGUGGGGUCCUUCCCUGGCGUUCCUAACAACGGCGGGAAGUCUAUAGUCGGUCCGUGCAUAGUACAGCUGGAUGCAAGAUAACUCUCCUUGUGAGUGAAAGCCGUGACCCGAACUCGUCUAGAACUGGUGGUGCACAAACGAUAAAGCAAGAACAUACCUUAAAGAAAAUAAGAACCGUUUCAUAAUUUAAUAAAGAUUAUUGACUUAUUAUUUAUCCCUUUACCUUUUUCCUUAAGAGGCCAGGAGAGAAUUACUAACUGAUAGCUAUCGGGCGCACAUUAUACAUAAUUCCAUAACAAGAACCACCCGUAAUUUAAUUAAGGUAUGCGAAGAUUAGCCAGAGGUAGGAUGGAGUAGAAGAGGUAUUUGUAACAUCCGUUACAAAAUGACACCCAAAAACGGGGCUUACGUAUUAGAGUGUUCUGGAGAAGCGAUGAAAAUAACGGGAAGGACACACAAACAGGAAUUGAUGCUUCACUUGACCUUCACUGUGGAAUACUGUUUGUUGAAAUCUAAGAACCUCGUGCGUUGCCGGAUGUUUCUACUAUCGUUCUGUAUUUUAGUUCAAAAAGGUAUUUGGGCAUUUGCUUUUAUGC